AUCGCGGUAGGCGAGCCGGCGCGCCUCAGCCUGCUCGCGGCUGCCUUGACCCGCGAUCAUGUACGUCGCCACGGUCC
rnacentral:tRNA from 1 species